GACGAACGCUGGCGGCGUGCCUAAUACAUGCAAGUAGAACGCUAAAGGAGGAGCUUGCUUCUCUGGAUGAGUUGCGAACGGGUGAGUAACGCGUAGGUAACCCGCCUGGUAGCGGGGGAUAACUAUUGGAAACGAUAGCUAAUACCGCAUAAUAGUAGUUGUUGCAUGACAACUGUUUGAAAGGUGCAAUUGCAUCACUACCAGAUGGACCUGCGUUGUAUUAGCUAGUUGGUGGGGUAACGGCUCACCAAGGCGACGAUACAUAGCCGACCUGAGAGGGUGAUCGGCCACACUGGGACUGAGACACGGCCCAGACUCCUACGGGAGGCAGCAGUAGGGAAUCUUCGGCAAUGGACGGAAGUCUGACCGAGCAACGCCGCGUGAGUGAAGAAGGUUUUCGGAUCGUAAAGCUCUGUUGUAAGAGAAGAACGAGUGUGAGAGUGGAAAGUUCACA
rnacentral:rRNA from 1 species